rnacentral:tRNA from 1 species
GGCUGACUAGUUCAGUCCGUUGGAGCCUCGUGCUCAUAACACGAACGUUUUGGGUUCGCUUCCCAUAUGAGCCA